rfam:Pteropus alecto contig32310, whole genome shotgun sequence.
GUCUAUGGCCAUGCUACCCUGAACAAGCUUAAUCCUGUCUGAUCUCAGAAGCUAAGCAGGGUUGGGCCUGGUUAGUACUUGGAUGGGAGACCACCUAGGAAGAGUAGGUGCUGUAGGCA